rnacentral:rRNA from 1 species
UACGGAGGGGACUAGCGUUGUUCGGAAUUACUGGGCGUAAAGCGCACGUAGGCGGAUUUGUAAGUCAGGGGUGAAAUCCCGAGGCUCAACCUCGGAACUGCCUUUGAUACUGCAAAUCUCGAGUCCGGAAGAGGUGAGUGGAAUUCCUAGUGUAGAGGUGAAAUUCGUAGAUAUUAGGAAGAACACCAGUGGCGAAGGCGGCUCACUGGUCCGGUACUGACGCUGAGGUGCGAAAGCGUGGGGAGCAAACAGGG